ACUCUCUCUCUCUCUCUCUCUCUCUCUCUCUCUCUCUCUCUCUCUGUGUGUGUGUGUGUGUGUGUGUGUGUCUGCUUUUUUCAUUCAAUGCUACUGGCAAAUUGUGAGAAGAAAAUGUUGUUUAGUGGCUACAUUAUAUGCUUAUGUUUGAGGUUAUGCAUCUUUAUAAUAUCAGUAGGGAUAUGUUGUUUAUGUAUUCUAUGAGCUUGUGAGCAAGGUGGGACUGAGAACAAAUAUUUUCCUAGGAUGGAUUGUGGAGAUUCAUAAACUUGUAUAGGCAUUUGUUAGGCCUUGAACUCCUUAUCCCAGCACUUCUACUUUCUUGCGUGCAUUAUGAAUGUUGCUCUCCUGUCCCUCUUCCUUUUGUAGGAACUUAAGAUAUGCUGUAUCUUUCUUUCCUUUUCUAUUAUAGGAAUAGACAGAGCUGUGAAAAUGUCAUCUGGAUAAGCUUGGUAAUAAAAAAAAUAAUGGUGGAAUUUUGUAACAAAUCGAAAUUGAUUGUGGUAAAAGCAUUUACUUCACCUUUCCUUCUUUAAUUGAGGUCUGUGUCUAUAGAAGAUAGAAGAAUAUCAUGAUAUAGCAGUCACAUUGCAUCGUUCUAUUAGUAAGUUCAUUGAUGAUAGAAAAUGAAUGUGCAAUACCUGUGUGAUAGAAAGCAAUCUUUAGAUUAUCGGCAGUCAAAUAUUGUAACACAAAGGAGAUUAAUGGAUAUCGCUUACCCUGGCUUAGGUGUCUCUGUCUAUUCCUGUGUAAGUUAGCAUGAUUGUUUCAAAAGAGUGAAGUGCGUAAGUCAUCUACAAAGAGAGAUGCAAUUCAAACUGCUUGUCAUAUCUAACUAUACAGGAUUGAGUUAGAAAUCUUAGUGAAGCCUCUAUUCAUAAAACUCCAGUUUAGUAUAGAUUGAAGAUAGCCUCAAGUGGUGGAUAUCAAGUGUGUUGCAAGUAUAGCUAAAAAAAGCCUGUCUGGUUGUCUCUUAUAGAAAUCAGAUACCAUUUUUGUUGUCAUUGACUUUAAGCUCUUUUUUGUUCUUUCUGUCUGCUUUAACAUUGUUCAUUAUCCGGUUAUCAGGUAAGAGUGAACUUGAAUGGAGAGGAGACAGAAAAGGCAUUUGAUGAUGUUGUGUCAAAUUUGGCCCAUGCUGCACCACCUAUUCCAGGGUUUUGUAGAAUGAAAGGAGGUAAGCUUUUGCAGGUAAAAGGCAAUCUGUUGGUAGCUGUGCUGUGCAACCUUUUAUUUGCUAUAAGGUCAUAAUGUUUACUUCUUUGUUCAACAUCUUUGGUCAUCUCUUCCUCCUAGCAACUAGAGAUAGCAUAAUUCCUGCAUAUCCAAAUUUGUCGAAAUUUGGCUCGAGACUUUUCCCCUCUGUGUUCUCUGGAUGACUCAAGGAACUUCCAGAACAUGUAACAUCCUUUCUAUUUGUUGAUUAUGCCCAUAAUUUUUUCAACAAUUGGAACUGAGAGAAAUAAGGGAACAAUGCUGUUUAUGAAUUGAUUAUGAGUUUUCAUUUUGUGAGUUGAGGUUGGAUAAAAAUUACGCACUAGAUUAAACUCAAUGUUUGAUAGGUGGAAAGGAAGAAUACUGCUUGUAGUUUGUUGCUCACCAAUGUGUUAUGAUUUUGGGG
rnacentral:lncRNA from 1 species